rnacentral:lncRNA from 1 species
CCACUUCUGUACCAGCUGGCUGAGACCACAGGGCCACGGUGUUGGGACGGAUGGCUUGGGUGCCAUCUUGUGUAAGCACGGCUCCUCUAGCUCACUGCAGAAACAGAGAGAUGGCAUGUUAACAGCAGCUGGAGGCUCUCACUGAGAUUCAGAGGAAACUAUGACAGGAAGCUGCAAAGAGCCAGCAGAGCAGUCAAACUGAAUUUGAAUCUGCUUCUCCACUUGGUAGCGAUGGGACGCUGGGUCUUACUCUCUGAAUCUCGAAGAACUGUGGAGUGGAUGUACCUGCCUCAUAAGAUUGUUCAGGGAACUAAAUGGGAAAAAGGACAUGAAGGGGAGAGCAUGCUAUCUGACUCAAAUAAACCAUUAUCAUCAUUGUGACAAUGAUAAUGAUUAAUUGUGUUAAGAAGAUCCAAGAUCCAGGACACAGAACACGUUAGGAACAGCCGAGUCACCCUAACUGCCCACUAGGGCACACAAAUGGAGGUGCUUUUAAGGGCCAUUUAUGAACAGAACUCAAACAUUUCAUGAAGACAAUGUUGAUGAGACACUUUAAGAAAGUGAAAACAGAACGGCCACCCUUGCAAAGGGGCCAGAGUUUGACUCCCAGUACCCACGCGCCAGUGGCUACACGGAAUAUGAACUGGGCGUGCAGAAUUCCAUAGAGCAGUGAAGAGUGGGACCAUGUGACCGAAGACGUGGAAAAGCAAAACGAAAACAGUCUAAAGAGGCAAGGUCCUGGAACACGCAGAAGCAAUCCAGUCCUCACAACUGUCGACUUCCUUCUGUCCGUGCAGGCAAGCUCACUUUCUGUUCUGUUGCUCUGUGGUUUCCAAAUGCAUUGUUU